rnacentral:lncRNA from 1 species
GGCCUUAAAAGCUUCUUUGCCUUCACGUUUCCUUUUGUUGUUGUUUGGCCUUUGUUCUACCACAUUUGCCUUUGCUUCAAUGAAGUUCUUUCCACUCUUCUUCUCAGAUCCUCGAUUGUCCUCUUCAAUCCUAAGUCGCACAAUCAGUUCUUCAAGAUUCAUCUCUUUGCGUUUAUGCUUCAGAUAAUUCUUGAAGUCUUUCCAUGAUGGUGGAAGCUUCUCAAUCAUUGCUGCAACUUGGAAUGAAUCACUUAAUGACAUUCCUUCA